UUUGGAGGGCAAGUCUGGUGCCAGCAGCCGCGGUAAUUCCAGCUCCAAUAGCGUAUAUUAAAGUUGUUGCAGUUAAAAAGCUCGUAGUUGAAUUUCGGGGUUAGUAGGCUGGUCAUGCCUCUGGUAUGUACUGGUCUCACUGAUUCCUCCUUCCUGAUGAACCGUAAUGCCAUUAAUUUGGUGUUGCGGGGAAUUUGGACUGUUACUUUGAAAAAAUUAGAGUGUUUAAAGCAAGCUAACGCUUGAAUACAUUAGCAUGGAAUAAUGAAAUAGGACGUUCGAUCCUAUUUUGUUGGUUUCUAGGAUUGACGUAAUGAUUAAUAGGGAUAGUUGGGGGCAUUAGUAUUCAAUUGUCAGAGGUGAAAUUCUUGGAUUUAUUGAAGACUAACUACUGCGAAAGCAUUUGCCAAGGAUGUUUUCAUUAAUCAAGAACGAAAGUUAGGGGAUCGAAGACGAUCAGAUACCGUCGUAGUCUUAACCAUAAACUAUGCCGACUAGGGAUCGGAUGAUGUUAAUUUUUUAAUGACUCAUUCGGCGCCUUACGGGAAAC
rnacentral:rRNA from 1 species